rnacentral:rRNA from 1 species
AGUGAACGCUGGCGGUAGGCCUAACACAUGCAAGUCGAACGGCAGCACAGUAAGCGCUUGCUCUUACGGGUGGCGAGUGGCGGACGGGUGAGGCAUACAUAGGAAUCUACUUUUUCGUGGGGGAUAACGUAGGGAAACUUACGCUAAUACCGCAUACGUCCUACGGGUGAAAGCAGGGGAUCUUCGGACCUUGCGCGAUUGAAUGAGCCGAUGUCGGAUUAGCUAGUUGGCGGGGUAAAGGCCCACCAAGGCGACGAUCCGUAGCUGGUCUGAGAGGAUCAUCAGCCACACUGGAACUGAGACACGGUCCAGACUCCUACGGGAGGCAGCAGUGGGGAAUAUUGGACAAUGGGCGCAAGCCUGAUCCAGCCAUACCGCGUAGGUGAAGAAGGCCUUCGGGUUGUAAAGCCCUUUUGUUGGGAAAGAAAAGCAGCAGGUUAAUACCCCGCUGUUCUGACGGUACCCAAAGAAUAAGCACCGGCUAACUUCGUG